UCGCCAUUUCUUCCCCGGAACAAAAAGGAUCGGACGGCUGUGUACUCACGUCACGUGGUUCCAGAUUGGAUAGGUUAAUUUACCCAGCAAAUAUAUGCUCUGAUUGGGCAGUUCAUAGGAGUUUCGAUUGAUCCAAGAGCUACAUUUUUUUCUUUUUCUUUUUCUUAGCUAUAUGACUAUAUCAUGUACAGCGAGACGAAGCAAUUUUCUUAGAGUCUACUGGGUUGCAGAUUGACGGGUGCACAGGUACGUUCUCAUCAAAGGCUAUAUCCCAGGAGUGGGGUAGAUCGAGUCUACUGGGCUGAGCUUAUGGUUAUGGGCCGUGGCCCAGCUGCUACAAGGCAAGCUGAUCUCGUUCACAGCAGGGAGUACAUGUUAUACAAAUCUACGUCGGUUAAUUCGGAACGGAAGAAAUAUAUGUUAUAAACAAAAGUUUUGUGCAUGUUUAUGAUUGAAAGGAAGAAUUUAAGCGAGAACGGUGCUUAAUUAAAAAACAACAGAUUUUUGCUACGGAUAUGAACGCCACAUUGGCUGCAAUUCUAAUGAAUCCCCAACACAUCUGGCCUUGGAUUGCCCACGUUGUUGGGUAUUGAUGUUGUCGGGAUGGAGCAGAUUGAUGAUCUUUCUAUUCAUGACAAAACUCUUGCUGCUCAG
rnacentral:lncRNA from 1 species